rnacentral:rRNA from 1 species
CAAUAGCGUAUAUUAAAGUUGUUGCAGUUAAAAAGCUCGUAGUCGGAUGUCGGGCUCGGGCAGGCUGUCGGCUUCGGUCGGACGGCAGGCUCGGGUCUUUCUGCCUGAGGAUCCAUCUCAUUCACUUGGGGUGGGGACGCAGGCCGUUUACUUUGAAAAAAUUAGAGUGUUCAAAGCAGGCCUACGCUUGAAUACAUUAGCAUGGAAUAAUGGAAUAGGACUUUGGUGCUAUUUUGUUGGUUUAUGGGACCGAAGUAAUGAUUAACAGGGACAGUUGGGGCCGUUUAUAUUUCGUUGUCAGAGGUGAAAUUCUUGGAUUUACGAAAGAUAAACUUCUGCGAAAGCAUUCGGCAAGGAUGUUUUCAUUG